AUAUUAAACUUAUCUAAUUUCACAUUAAUUAUAGAUAUUAUUACUUAGAUUGUCGCGCACUCAAGAUGGCAAAUCAUCUACCCAUGUUGAGCUUUUUUAUUUGGAUGAUGAUAUUUUUGGGUAUAAUGACUAUUGAGCAAGGAGACCAUGACUAUGAUCAUGAAGAGCAUCAGUCACAAUCCAUGCUUAUCAGGCUCGCCGACAUUUCUAGCUUGCAAGGAUCGACAUCAAUCGAAUAACGUAUUCACUAUUAUUAGGACGUGGCGGUUUUACGUGGACUACCUGUUGAUGGAUGGAUAAUCACAUCUACUGGCGCUCGUGAUCGAAUUGUGUUAUAUGAACGAUCAUUUGGAUUGACACCCUCUCCUUCUGAAUUGAAAGGGGUAACAUACAUUUUAAAUAGAUUGAGAAGAUAUUUACGACAUUACCAAAUGAUGUUGACGAUGAUAUCUUGCGGAGAUGCAAAUUAAAUUAUUAUUUGAAUGAUAUUUAAUUGUGUUGAUUAUUUUUUAA